AAAGGUAAGCUACUAAGAGCGAAUGGUGGAUGCCUUGACUGGUAAAGGCGAUGAAGGACGUACUAGACUGCGAUAAGCUACGGGGAGCUGUCAAGAAGCUUUGAUCCGUAGAUUUCCGAAUGGGGCAACCCAAUGUAUAGAGAUAUACAUUACCUAUAUAGGAGCGAACGAGGGGAAUUGAAACAUCUUAGUACCCUCAGGAAAAGAAAUCAAUAGAGAUUGCGUCAGUAGCGGCGAGCGAAAGCGCAAGAGGGCAAACCCAGUGCUUGCACUGGGGGUUGUAGGACUGCAAUGUGCAAGAGGUGAGUUUAGCAGAACAUUCUGGAAAGUAUA
rnacentral:rRNA from 1 species